rnacentral:lncRNA from 1 species
GUACUUCAGACAUUCCCCCAGUGGCUGAAGUGGCAUAUGAAUUAUGAAGCUGGAUCAUUUGGAAUGAAUGUAAGAGAAUUGCCAAGGGCUCCUCCUACUCCAGAGAGGAAACCUCAUCCAGGGCCAUGAAGCCACUUCCUCACCAUCUGUGUGCUGCUUAAGCUAAUGCUGCGGGAACCAUGGUUCCUUGGGAGGAAUCAAGCUGACUCUUGGCAUGAGAUUCCUGCCUUCCUAGUGUUGAGAGCGGCACUGCCAUGGCUUCUCUGGACGACCCAGGGGAAGUGAGGGAGGGCUUCCUCUGCCCUCUGUGCCUGAAGGAUCUGCAGUCUUUCUAUCAGCUUCACUCACAUUACGAGGAAGAACACUCGGGGGAAGACCGUGAUGUCAAAGGGCAAAUUAAAAAUGUUAUAUCUGUUUCUUGAAGCUUUUUGCAAGUAUUCUCACAUGCAUUCAAUAAGUGCGUGGGCAGUAGUGGGGAAGCAAGAACUCUGUGUCCAGUUAAGCCUAUGGGGAACACCAGUCCACGGAUGGAGGUUUAGCUGAAUCCCAUCCUGGAGGUCUUGUCCAGAAGGCUAAGAAAGCAAAGGACAGGUUGUUGAAACGAGAAGGGGAUGAUCGAGCAGAGUCAGGGACCCAAGGAUAUGAGUCUUUCAGCUAUGGAGGGGUUGAUCCUUACAUGUGGGAACCCCAGGAGCUUGGUAAGAAAAUUCAUUUAUUCAUUCAGCAAGUGGUUAUUGAGCAUCUGCUAUGUUCUAGGUAAAGUUUUAAGAGUUGGCUGAGGAGGCAUCAGUAAACCAUAAUGGUCCAAGCUUCUCAUGGACCUUAUGCCCUUGCUGGGGGAAGAAAAUGGAAGAGAACCAGCUGAGCAUCCACUUUGUGUUAGGCACUACAUUAAGUGCCUUAUACCCAUGGUCUUGUUAGAUCUUCACUGCACCUCAUGAGAACCUGCCCAGGGACAAACAGUGAGUAAACUGCAGAAGUAGGGUAUGAAUCCAUAUCUCUCUGAUGUCAGCCCAGGCAUAGAGUCCAU